rnacentral:lncRNA from 1 species
AUGGCACAAACACUAUGCUUCACCCUCCCUUUUUCAAUGCUUGCUUAUCCUUUUUACAUGUUGGCAGCAUCUGUUGAAGUUUUAAGGAAGGCGCAGUUGUGAUUGAAAAAUAGGGAAGCUUUGUGAGAUGUGAAUGAGCCAUAUUGCAAUUUUAUGGGGAGAGGCGACCAUGGUGGUGGAGGUUUCUUCGUCGAUUAACUUCGUCUUUGUACCUGCUCUUGAUUCUAUUCGAUUUAGCGUUUUUUGUAGCUGGCGUUCGGUUAAUUAGGAUCGAUUGCCGGAUGUUUUUAUUAGUUGUUUUUGUGGCGUUAAAUACUGGUGCUUUUCUUUGCCGAAGGUUUGAGAUGGUUAUUUUGUGAUUAAGGUACCUUAUUCUCUUAUGAUUUAAUUGGACUUA